rnacentral:tRNA from 1 species
GGUGGCGUAGCCAAGCGGUCCAAGGCGGCGGUUUGCAAAACCGCUAUUCCGGGGUUCAAAUCCCCGCGCCACCU